AAGUCGGUGAUGGCUCCUUUUGUCGCCCGCCCGACCCACCCCGCCGCCGCCGUAGCAGCAACAGCGCCACCAUUCCUCCACCGCGCUGGCUCCCAGCGGGGCCUAAUAAUCCAAACAAUGUCGGAGUCGGUGAGGGUAGACCGGCUCGGCGAGUUCGAUUCCGGGAUCGUGGAGCUGAAGCUGAGCCGGCCGGAGGCGAAGAACGCGUUCGGGAAGGACAUGCUGCGAUGACUGCGGUUCGGUUCCCAGGGUUUUCUUCGCCGGGACGGAUCUCAAGUAGGGACAUGCACGUGAGGUAAUAAACUUUAAUGUUCCUUCUCAUCUUUCUGCGUCCUCUGGUCCAACAAUUGCGGUCAUUGAAGGAGCAGCACUUGGUGGUGGCCCAGAAUUGGCUCUUUCAUGUGAUCUUCGUGUGUGUGGAGAAGAUUCAACAUUUAGCUUGCUAGAGACUGGACUUGGCAUAAUUCCUGGGUAUGUGUUCAAGCUGGUCAUUGGGACUCAUCAAUCACUGUGUUCCUUCUGGAGAUGCGUACCAGAAGAAGAAUCAUGCGAACAGCCAAGAGGGUUAAACUAAUGCUUCGACGAAGUAUCAUGACAAGAAGAAUUUUUACACAAUUAGCUUCCCCAUUCAGUUCUCUUUUAUCUUUGGAUGGAUUCUAACCAGGGCCUAUCUUUGUAAGGGUCCUUUGGCUACAAGGAUGGCUUAGCAAGCUAUCAACAAAGGCAUGGAAGGAGGAGCUACGUCCUCGGCAGUGGGUGGGGAAGAAGAAUGUUAUGGGCGACUACUGAACACAGCAGACCGUGAGAAGCUAAAACCCAAAUAUACCUUGGCAAAUCGAAUCACACAAUCUAGUUCUUGUUCGGCUGCUUGUUGUAACUUAAAUCAGCAUAGGAUACAAAGGUGUUCUAACCAUAUAAUUUUUAUUCUUUUUAUAAGUAUCAUUUGGACAUAACAGAGUCUUAUGUUAACUGGUAAUUGAGACCAUGGAAGAAAUUUUCGACAUUUCAAGCUCGUUACGCA